AAAGACUUGACGGUACUUCACACCAACCUAGAGGAGCCUGUCUAACAACCGAUAUUCCACGUUUAACCCCACCCGCCUUAGCCCCACAGUCUAUAUACCGCCGUCGCCAGCUUACCUUGCAAGAGUAACAUAGUGAGCAAAACAGACCCCUCUAACACGACAGGUCGAGGUGUAGCUUAUAGCCGGGUAAAAGAUGGACUACAUUUUCUAUAACAGAACAUACGAAUAAACUAUGAAACUAGAAACUGAAGGAGGAUUUAGCAGUAUGUUAAGAACAGAAAACCUA
rnacentral:rRNA from 1 species